GUACAAUUUCAAGUAAAUUUGUGAAAUGUAGAAUUGGAAAUCGACAUUUAAAAUGAGAAAAAACUAUGUUUAUAAUGUUCUUAAUUUGAUCCUGUUGGUGUAUGUGUUUGUGGUGUGGCUAUGUGUCAUAUAUGCUGGAUACUAUGUUGCAGAAGAACUUUUGAAGCAUUAAAAAGUAACUUAUCAAAUAUAAAGUGAAAUAAAUUUAAGAAAAGACGUUUGGCUCACAAAACAAACAUUGUUGACAUUAUUGUCACAUCAAUAAUAAUUGAAGUAUCAAAGCUUGGUUAUUGAUAAAUUUAUAGAAAACUAUGGUUGAGUUAGCCUAGCGUUUCAAGACAUGGUUCAGAUGUUUACUCGUUUAUGGGAAGGCAUGAGAGCAUAGUUUUGCAAACAUUUUUAUUGUAAUCAUUUAUGCAAUGUGUACAUUGUAAAAACAUCCUCAAGCAGACUACUGCAUCAGGUAAAUGUUUUGUAAGUAAUCGCUAUUAAAGCAAUUAUUUCAAGAUG